rnacentral:rRNA from 1 species
UACAGAGGUCUCAAGCGUUGUUCGGAUUCAUUGGGCGUAAAGGGUGCGUAGGUGGCGCCGUAAGUCAGGUGUGAAAUUUCGGAGCUUAACUCCGAAACUGCAUUUGAUACUGCGGUGCUUGAGGACUGGAGAGGAGACUGGAAUUUACGGUGUAGCAGUGAAAUGCGUAGAGAUCGUAAGGAAGACCAGUGGCGAAGGCGGGUCUCUGGACAGUUCCUGACACUGAGGCACGAAAGCCAGGGGAGCGAACAGG